rnacentral:rRNA from 1 species
UAUUGGACAAUGGGCGAAAGCCUGAUCCAGCAAUGCCGCGUGAGUGAUGAAGGCCUUAGGGUUGUAAAGCUCUUUUACCCGGGAUGAUAAUGACAGUACCGGGAGAAUAAGCCCCGGCUAACUACGUGCCAGCAGCCGCGGUAAUACGUAGGGGGCAAGCGUUGUUCGGAUUUACUGGGCGUAAAGCGCGCGUAGGCGGCACUGCAAGUCACUUGUGAAAUCUCCUGGCUUAACUCGGUAGGGGCCAAGUGAUACUGCAGAGCUAGAGUGCGGAAGAGGCAGCUGGAAUUCUCGGUGUAGCGGUGAAAUGCGUAGAUAUCGAGAGGAACACCGGUGGCGAAGGCGGGCUGCUGGGCCGACACUGACGCUGAGGCGCGAA